CAGUCGCCGCGGUAAUUCGUAGGGUGCGAGCGUUAAUCGGAAUUACUGGGCGUAAAGCGUGCGCAGGCGGUUUUGUAAGACAGGCGUGAAAUCCCCGGGCUCAACCUGGGAAUGGCGCUUGUGACUGCAAAGCUAGAGUGCGGCAGAGGGGGAUGGAAUUCCGCGUGUAGCAGUGAAAUGCGUAGAUAUGCGGAGGAACACCGAUGGCGAAGGCAAUCCCCUGGGCCUGCACUGACGCUCAUGCACGAAAGCGUGGGGAGCAAACAGGAUUAGAUACCCGCGUAGUCCCUGUCUCUUAUAC
rnacentral:rRNA from 1 species